GGGGAUGUAGCUCAGUUGGUUAGAGCGCAGCACUGUCACUGCUGAGGUCGCGAGUUCGAAUCUCGUCAUCCUCGCCA
rnacentral:tRNA from 1 species